GGCUCUACCCAUCUGCCCCGACAUAAUGCGCAAAACUGUGCAUGCACAGAAGGAAGUGUGCAUGCGCAGCCAUGGUGCCGCACUCACAUUUGUGAACUGGUAGGGAAGAUGGGAAUCUUAUAUACAUUUGUUCACCAAGAAGGAUUCAAGACAAGAAACAAAGUUCACUGGGAAGAGAACAAUGAGGAAUUACUUCAGGGGUGAAUUGAACAGAAUAUAUUUUGAGAGGAUUCUACAAUAAUGUAGAAACAAAAAACCCAAUUCUCAAGAUUUAUGUUAAUGAUAUAUAAUGGCUGAAGGCGUACAUAGCCCAAAGUUACCAGGCUAACAGCCAGAGCCACAAAACCACUUUUAAAAACCAGUUUUGUAACAUCUCAUCCUUAAGUAACUUUACAAUACUGUGAAAAAUAAUUUUCAUGUUCUUAAAUGAGCUUGGAGUGUAUUUUUUUUAAAAAAAAUCCCUUUCUGUUUGUUAAAUUAUACCAUCCCCCAGCUGUUUUAUUUAGUACAGUAUACACAUAUCUAAUAAUCGGUCAAUCUUGCUAUGAGGAUAAAUACUCAAUGUUCAACUGGAGCAAUAUAUCCUAGCAGGAAGGAAUCUAUUAUCACACUUUUACACCCAGUCUCGAGUGAUAAAUAUCUCUUCAUUUCAUUCAGAAUAUCAGCCGUCAACAGCAUAAAUACCUCUAUUCAGUGUAAGACAGAACAGCUAUUACGUUGCAUGAUCAUGCAAUAACAUUCCCAAUAAAUGUGUCUUGUGUAUAGUACACCAUUUCUCUUUCUUACAUAUUCUGGACCAAGACUCCCAAUUGCUACAGUAUAUCAUGCCAUUUCCUUUCUGUUUGUGAGAAAGACUGCUUGCCUUUAUGGAUUAAAAAAAAGAGAGAGACAGAAAGAGAAAGUUGUGCUUAUACCGCUUGGAAUGCUGCCUGCAUUUUGGUAAGAGGAAAGGUGGAACUUUAGGAAAAGAAAUAACAUUAAAAUAAAGGGAAAGCUAAGGCAAUCUGUUCAAUGGCACAUUGAAUCUAGUUUUGUGAUUCGUUAGCAAGUGUCACAAAGGCAAAAAUGGAAGAAUUGUGUAAACGUAUACAAUACAGUACAUCAGCCACAGACAACUAAAUGAGAAACAGACCUGUGAUUCUUUUCUUUCUGCUUUGUUUUUUCUUUACUUGAAAGUGGAUACUCGGCCAGUAUAUUGGUGGCAUUUUAUGUUUUUUAUAUUCAGAAAAAGAUGUCAUGAUGUUAACAAGAAAAAGAAUUUUUAUGAAAACUAAGGUAAAUUUGCAAAAAGAUUGAAAAUACAAAAUAUAUUUUAAAAUGUACAAAUUACUUGUAUCUUAGGAAAACACUGAAAAGAGUUUUUUCCCUUUGCAUUUUUAAUAUUUAAUUACAAAAGUUAAGGCUAAAUAGUCAUUGUGCCAAACUGUCAAGGAUCUAGACCUUGCCUGUUUAUUAUUUAAAAUAUUUCUCUAUGCUGGAA